rnacentral:rRNA from 1 species
GACGAACGCUGGCGGCGUGCCUAAUACAUGCAAGUCGAGCGCAGGAAAUCGACGGAACCCUUCGGGGGGAAGUCGACGGAAUGAGCGGCGGACGGGUGAGUAACACGUAAAGAACCUGCCCUCAGGUCCGGGAUAACCACGAGAAAUCGGGGUCAAUACCGGAUGGGUCAUCGGCCCGCAUGGCCCGAGGAUGAAAGGCGCUUCGGCGUAGCUGGGGGAUGGCCUUGCGGUGCAUUAGCUAGUUGGUGGGGCGAGGGCCCACCAUGGCGACGAUGCAUAGCCGACCUGAGAGUGUGAUCGGCCACACUGGGACUGAGACACGGCCCAGACUCCUACGGUAGGCAGCAGUAGGUAAUCUUCCACAAUGUACGAAAGUCUGAUGGAGCAACGCCGCGUGAACGAUGAAGGCGUUCGGGUCGUAAAGUUCUGUUGUAAGGGAAGAACAAGUGCCGCAGGCAAUGGCGGCACCUUGACGGUACCUUGCGAGAAAGCCACGGCUAACUACGUGCCAGCCGCCGCCGUAA